CAAGAAGCCGAAAGGCUACUUAAAACCAUCGCGAACUUAUCCAAGUUGCUUCGGCGGCGCGGCUCCCCUCACGGGGGACCGCAGCCCCCGCCUCUCAGGAGGUAAGGGGCAGCCGCCGGAGGUACGAAACUCUGUAUUAUAGUGGUGUCUCUGAGUAUAAAACAAAUAAGUUA
rnacentral:misc_RNA from 1 species